rnacentral:ncRNA from 3 species
UACGGAGGGUGCGAGCGUUGUCCGGAAUCACUGGGCGUAAAGGGCGCGUAGGCGGCUCAUUAAGUGGCUGGUGAAAUCCCGGGGCUCAACUCCGGGGCUGCCGGUCAGACUGGUGGGCUCGAGCACGGUAGAGGCGGAUGGAAUUCCCGGUGUAGCGGUGGAAUGCGUAGAGAUCGGGAAGAAUACCGGUGGCGAAGGCGUUCCGCUGGGCCGUUGCUGACGCUGAGGCGCGACAGCGUGGGGAGCAAACAGG